CCCCAUCCCGCCACAGCUUGCCCGCAGUCUUCUGGCUCAUGCCCUUGCACAAUAAGCCCAGCACCUCAACCAGCAGCGUGGUGGCCUUCCCAAGGGGCACCAGGGGCUUUGUUAUCUCCCUGAACAGCUCCUCCAUGGGGAUGCCUUCCUCUUGCAGGAUAGGUGUUAUGAGCUCGGCAAGAUACAGCCAGAUGUGCGGGAUAUCAAUCUCCAUGUCUUCUGCAAUCUCCAGG
rnacentral:lncRNA from 1 species